rnacentral:lncRNA from 1 species
GUUUGUUUAGUAGAGUAAGAUUGGAUCUCAUCCAUUCAAUUUCACUUGAUCCGACGGUCCAAAUUCAUUCGCCAACUAGGUAUUUAAAGCCCCAUAUCUCAGAAAAAUACCUCCAUUUUCCCCUUAAUUCCUCUUUCCUUCCUCUAUCUUCUCUCUCUCGCCUCUCUCCCAGGACCUCUCACCACCGCCGCCCGCCACCACUAUUCUGCCGGCCGGAAAUCGCCACUGCUGGCGAACGAACCCCAAACAACCCCAAAAUUUCAUCAUCUCUUCUUCUACUCACCCUCUUUCUAGACCUACAACCCAAAUUCCCCAAAUCUCCACCAAAAACUGACAAACCCAAACCCUAGUAACGCCGCCGGCCAAAACCCUUCAAAAUUUCACUAGCUCCUCCUCUCCUCCUCCUCUAUCCCAUUCUAUACCCCAAAAUCCUCAAAACCCUAUGCCUCACCUCAUGCUAGCGCCGCUGCUCCACCACCCAAGACCACCACUGUUUCUCCACUCUAGCUUCAUCUCGACGUAAAGGAACCUGUUUCCUUCUAGCACGACGCCAAACCUUGUUUGUUUUGGCGCCUGCUAAAAGGAAACAUGCGCUUUAAUGUCACAGACAGUCAAGACUCGUCUUGCUUGGCAUCUCCUCAUUUGAUUUGGCAUCGGCUUCCAUCGUUUGGUAUAACCCUAUUCCCUCUUUCAUCCUUUUUUUCUCUCUUCUUCUUCUUCUUCUCUGAUUCUUUGUGUGUAUUUGUCAUUAGGUUUAGGGAUUAAUCAUAGUCAUGAUUCUAUUAGUUGUAUUAUCAGUAUAUUUUAUUUCAGUAAUUCGUUGUAUUCUGAAAUCACAUGUUUCUUCAUAACUUUAAAUUAGUUUUUUUCCAACCUUGCCGGUCGAUUAGCUCGUAUAUAGUUCGCCAGUUUUGAUUUCUGGUUCUUCGACCUAGCUGGUCGACUAUUUCAUAUGCAUUUGUUAUUACUGAACUUUUAGUUUUAUCGACCUAGCCGGUCGAUUGUUUGUUUGUUCGUGCUUGUUACUCUUAGAUAUUUGUUCCUCGACCUAGCCGUUCGAUUGUUUGGUCGUUUGUUUGAAUAUUCAGUUAAUCGCGACUAUAAAUGAUGGAUUCGAUUCAAAUUGGUGGAUUGUUUAAUUCAUCGGGUUUAGUCGGUUCAUUAAAUGAUUUGUUAAGCUUGACCUUAUCUUUCUUUGAGCAUGAUUUUAGCUUGAGUUUUCAGCUUAAAUAAGUCAUGUAUUGAUUAAAAACUGAAGUAGUAAGAAAUACUUGAGUAUAGGGUACUUGUUUGGCUGCUUUUUACUGUUUAAAGGGAUGUUUGGAGUACACUUCUCCUAGCACAGUUCAUAGUUGGUGAAACAAUUGUCUUUUGGACAGAAUUUUGACCAAAAAUCUCUCCUUUGAAUAGUUGGGAUAGAUUUUAGGUGGAAAAUCCAUCCUUUGGACAGAUUUUCAAUCAUGAAGGCCUUGGUUCUUCUCUUGUAAAAGACACUCCAUCUAUCAUACAUAUUCUGAACAUGUUUACAUAUACUUUGAACAUCUUUACUCAUCUUACACUCAAAAAAAGGGAAUAGAAAGUUGGAGAUGAAAAGAUAAAAGAAACUUCAGCAACCUUUCAUCAAAAAAAAAUUGUUUUAGAAAAGCAAAAAGAAAGGUUUUGUAGUCUCCCUUGGUUCUUUUGGUUCUUCAAGCUUGUUGAUUUAUGGGUUUCAUUUGGUUUAAGUUGCCGUUGAUUGCUGCGGUUUGCUAGUUCUUGUUGUGUUCAUUGAGUAGAUAACUUCAGAGCUAUCCAUUGCUAGGUUUCUUUCUUUUAUUGUAAGGAUUCUGCUGUGCAUAGGUAAUCCUAUCAACUCCUUAGUAUAAUUUUAACUGUUAUCAUAAUGAGCAUGCAGCUUGAGAUAUAUCUUGACUCCUCAUCUUUGUGUUUGAAUAAUGAUGAGUGUUUUUGAAUGUUUAUUGAAUCUGCUUGCUUUGUUUUGAAUCAGCCUUUACCUAAUAUUUAUGAAUCUUUGAUGUCAUUUGAGUUCAUAAAAGUGGUUUAGUUUGAGUUAAAUAAUUUAGAACCAUAUAUAAUUUUUCUCGGUCGAUACUAAGAGCAAAUGUCUUCCGCUGCAAUUGACAUUUGAUGGCUCGAGCUUUUUAUUAAGAUAAAGUAGCACGUUUUGUCCAUUUUCCUCUCUUUUAAUUUAUGAUAAAAGUGAGUAAUGAAAGGUUAAGUAAGGACUAUGUGUUUGAUGGGAAACUAACUGUUGUUUUGGCAUGUUGUGGUGUUAAGUUUUGGUCGUAUGCGUUAGGCUUCUUAUGAACCAUAUCUGUUUGAAAACUAAAAUAUUUUGAACUCAUUCUUGUUACUAUUGAGCCAAAUUUCUUAAAUUUCAUCUUUCUUAAAGGAUGAAAAUGUUACUGUUAAAUAAGUUCAAUGUUUGAAAAGAUUUUUUUUCUUUUCUUAGGUUGAGUCAAUAGUUUAUUCUUGGAGUUUUUGAGUUUCGACUAAGUCAAAAAAAACUAUCUUUGGUUCUUUAGUAUUCCACGUCAGACACAUAUCACCUAUACUUGAGAAAAAUGGAGCUAAUUAUUUUAUUUUUAUCUUUGUUAAAUGCUAGAAUGUAGUUAAUAAUACGUUAGUUGUGAUUAUAGAAAAAUACUCCUUUUGUUAAAAUUUUGAUUGGAGCGGGAGUGUUUCCUUGUGUUGAAUCUUUGAAAACUAAGAACUUUAAAUGGCUCUUUUUAGCUUUAAUUCAUUCUUGUAACUUGCUUAUGUAACCAUUCUUUGGGUGUCGUUUGUUCCAUAUGAAUACUUCUUCGUGAUAUUUUUGUACGUCGGUGUCAUGGGCGAGUUUGAAUUAUUUGAGCCACAUAAGCUUUAGUCGAAGCAGUUAGCCAAAUAACUUGAGACCUUUUAAUUAAUUAGUUUAAUAUUUCUCAAAAGCGCUAAGCAACUAGUAGGCACGCUUUAACUUUUACAUGUAAGAUAGUUUGUUAUUGGCUAGUUGGAAGUGGGAUUCUUCCCAUAUCGGAAGAAGGAAGUUCCGUGCCUGUUAUGUGAAACACCUUCGGGACUGACCUUACUCGUACCGUGCCUUUUAGCCUCGGAACUGAUCAUGAUGAAAUAGCACUCAACAUGCACGAGAUUGACUCAACAGGCACGAGACUGACUCAACAGGCACGAGAUCCUAAAGUUUGAAUUUUAAAUUCAAAAUUCGAAUAAAUAGCCAUGUCUGUUUGUGAAACAAGACAUCUUUUCUGAAAGGGUCUGUUGGUUGCCUAUAAAUACACAAGAAUUCCAACGAAGUGAAAUAGAAAAUUACAAGUGUUAUUGCAGGCUUUGUUGUAUCCUGAAGAGA